CCCAAGUCAGCUUUUUAAACAAACUUUCUUAUCAGAACUACCUUUUGAAAGCAUGCCACCAGUGACUUAAGGACAUCUCACUAAGCCACAUCCUAAACACCAUAAUUGUGGAUAAUAUGAUGCUGAAAUCAAUCAACUUUGGAAAAAAACUAAACCUACGAACAUAGAAACCAUAUUGAAGUGAACAAAGAGCAUAUUCCUGAUUAGAACUGAGUGAACAAAUGAGAGAAAUCUUCAAAGUCAUUGCUUAAAGCUUCAAACACAAUCAACAGUUAAGGUAACUAUAAAUCCCAAGGAGUGGGAUGGCUGGGUCGAAAG